GACGAACGCUGGCGGCGUGCUUAACACAUGCAAGUCGAGCGGUAAGGCCCUUUCGGGGGUACACGAGCGGCGAACGGGUGAGUAACACGUGGGUGACCUGCCCUUAGCUCUGGGAUAAGCCUGGGAAACUGGGUCUAAUACCGGAUAUGACUCCAUGACGCAUGUUGUGGGGUGGAAAGCCUUGUGCGGCUAGGGAUGGGCCCGCGGCCUAUCAGCUUGUUGGUGGGGUGAUGGCCACCAAGGCGACGACGGGUAGCCGGCCUGAGAGGGCGACCGGCCACACUGGGACUGAGACACGGCCCAGACUCCUACGGGAGGGCAGCAGUGGGGAAUCUUGCGCAAUGGGCGAAAGCCUGACGCAGCGACGCCGCGUGAGGGAUGACGGCCUCGGUUGUAACCGUAC
rnacentral:rRNA from 1 species